UCCUCUAUGAAAGGCAUAGAAGAAAGUUCCAGCAACUCAUAGGGAAUGACUCAGCAUUUCUCCCAAGACCUCAGGGGGAGGAGCUCUACUGAAGAUGCUGUCAGAGAGAGGAGCUUAGCUAGCUUUAAAUAAGUAUGACAUAAUGGGAGGAGCUAGACAAAAAUAGCAAUUAUGCUAAUAUUUAGAAGCUGAUUGGUUGAGCUGGGCUAAUUAUGCUAAUAAGCAGACCUUGAGAGAGCAACCAUCUUAUAAAGCCCAGGGCUAGCAGGCCGAGUGUCGUGGGUUUGAGGCUUUGUGGAAGAAUAGAAGCUACCUGAGAAGGACAACAGAAAAUUCCAUACAGUAGCCACCUGGGAAAGCAGUAGCAGCAGCAGCAACUCUAAAGGUCACCACAGCAACACCUUUCAUAGCAGCACAAUCAGCAGUCCCUGCCAGCAGCACUGCCGCUACGCCCGCAGCCUGAAGCAGCAGCAGCAGUUAGGAAAAUUGUGGCCUUGACAAUCCUUAACAUCAUUACAGACCGAUCAGAAGGACUAUUAAGAUGAAACAAAGGGAAUUUGGGUAUGAGUUUGUUUGGCCUGCUCUGCUCCGACCUGACCCCUCUCCCCAGCAGGAGCACCAGGUGGGUGGAACGGGGCAAGCCCCCGUGCCCCAACCCUGCUCUCUGACAGGAGUGCCAGGUGGGCAGCACAAGGCAAGCCCCUGUGCCCCGACCCUGCUACGCCCCUGCCUCAACCAAGCUUCACAAUCAUCAUUGCAACCUACCAUUUGAGUGUUACAGGAAAGCCAUCUGUAAGCUAUAGGGAUCUGAAAACAUGACAUACUACAGCCCUGAGCUUCAAAAAGGAGCACAGUUAAAAUCCACUGAACUCUCCUGAGCUA